rnacentral:lncRNA from 1 species
UGACCGACUGAACCGGGGUCGGAGACUUGAGUCAGAGUUGGGAGUGACAUGGCCAACAACGGCGUCACCGAUGGAGGCGAGGCGGUGCCUUAACGGUAUGGGUGUGAGGAGGAUCAUCGGCGUUGGAGAAGGGAAAUGUUCAAAGGGAUGGGACAAGGUGACGACUUGGGCAGCGCAACGAGGCGGCGUGAUAAUGGUGCUAGCAGCUGGUACCGGGAGACAUAUGAUUAGAAUGAUGGCGACAAAUGGGUCAGGGAGCGUUGAAGUCAGCGGUUGACUCAUCUCGAUGCAAUCAAAGAGUGUAUAAUAGGAGCACUCGGAGAACAUGUCCGAUGCACCAAGUUCCAGUGCAAUCAAGGCUCCUUUGAUUUUAAAGAAACUUCAUAGGGUUUUUGAAGGUUUCGAUCCUCAGGAAUUUUUUCCUUGCAGUGGUCGUUUGAUUCAUGUUAUUUGAAUCCUUAGGAUUUUUUUCUAUAUGAUUCAUUUAUACUAUAUUUUGAAUGAAUUUUUCCUUCAUACUUCUCAGUAUAAUUAUUUUGUUUUUCUUGUGCCGUCAAACGCUUUUUCAUCCAAAUUCCUAUAGUUUUCUAAUCCUAUGGGAUAGGAGAGGACAUAACAUCUUAUCCCUAGUUUUUGUGAUACCGAUGCACCCCGGCGAACGACGAUAUGGACGACAUAACCUUACACCUGUUAAAAAAAACGGUACGAGCAGGAGAAUUGCUUCUUCAAUAGUUGAGUUCUUUGCACCGACAUCGCAAGGAAAAUGAUUUGCCGCUUCAGUAGGUGCCCCCUGCAAAGGCAUUUGGAUGUGAGCUGUAGUUAGAUUAGUUCUUUUAGGGUAUAGUUAGAUUAGUCGGAUCAGCUCUAUGGGCAAACGAAGCUUGCAGAAAUUCGGAGAGGGUCCAGCACACCCCACAAUGAGCUCAGAGAACAAAUGCAAGAUGUGAUGAUAAUAUUUGAUGGGAACUGAUGUCAUAAUUAAAUAUCAAAUAGUUUCCCUACAGAGUACAGACUGCCCAUGAUUGCACCUAGGCGUACACAGCAGAAUAUCCUGAAAUAAAACAGCUACCUGAAGAACAUUUGAGAGGAUAAGUCGUCUGCAUGAUUGGAUUAAACAUACUCCAUACUAGUGCCAACACACGUCUCCAGCUACCGAACACUGAUUCCCAGUAUCUUGCAAACCGCCAGCUUACUACAGAAGAAUUGCGCGUUCCUUCAUUUUGCUAGAUUUAGUGGUUGCCAUGUUAAGUCUCUUUGGUCAAACACUUGCCUUAUUAGUGGCUACCAUGUAGAGAACUGCUGAU